rnacentral:tRNA from 2 species
GGAGAAGUGGCGGAAUUGGUAGACGCACCACUCAAUAAUAGGAAUGCCAACCUUAGAUGUGGUGAGCUUGGCAACUCAUCCCGGUUCGACUCCGGGUUUCUCCA